CCUACGGGCGGCUGCAGUGAGGAAUAUUGGUCAAUGGGCGGAAGCCUGAACCAGCCAAGUCGCGUGAGGGACUAAGGCCCUGCGGGUCGUAAACCUCUUUUGCCGGGGAGCAGUGGUCCGGACGUGUCCGGGCCGGGAGAGUACCCGGAGAAAAAGCAUCGGCUAACUCCGUGCCAGCAGCCGCGGUAAUACGGAGGAUGCGAGCGUUAUCCGGAUUUAUUGGGUUUAAAGGGUGCGCAGGCGGUCUGUUAAGUCAGCGGUCAAAGCCCGGGGCUCAACCCCGGCCCGCCGUCGGAACUGGGUGCCUUGAGUGGGCGAGAAGUAUGCGGAAUGCGUGGUGUAGCGGUGAAAUGCAUAGAUAUCACGCAGAACCCCGAUUGCGAAGGCAGCAUACCGGCGC
rnacentral:rRNA from 1 species